CCUACGGGCGGCAGCAGUAGGGAAUCUUCGUCAAUGGACGGAAGUCUGACCGAGUCACGCCGCGUGAGUGAAGAAGGUUCUCCGAUUGUUAAACUCCGUUGGUAGAGAAGCACGUUGGUGAGAGUGGAAAGCUCAUCAAGUGACGGUAACUACCCAGAAAGGGACGGCUAACUACGUGCCAGCAGCCGCGGUAAUACGUAGGUCCCGAGCGUUGUCCGGAUUUAUUGGGCGUAAAGCGAGCGCAGGGGGUUUAUUAAGUCUGGUGUAAAAGGCAGUGGCUCAACCAUUGUAUGCAGUGGAAACUGGUAGACUUGAGUGCAGGAGAGGAGGGCGGAAUGCGAGGUGUAGCGGUGAAAUGCGUAGAUAUAAGGAGGAACACCGGUGGCGAAGGCGGCUCUCCGGCCUGUAACUGACACUGAGGCACGAAAGCGUGGGGAGCAAACAGGAUUAGAUACCCCUGUAGUC
rnacentral:rRNA from 1 species